rnacentral:miRNA from 3 species
UGACUAGAUCCAUACUCACCAG